rnacentral:rRNA from 1 species
AUUGAACGCUGGCGGCAUGCUUUACACAUGCAAGUCGAACGGUAACAGGUUAAGCUGACGAGUGGCAAACGGGUGAGUAAUGCAUAGGAACGUGCCCGAUCGUGGGGGAUAACGCAGCGAAAGCUGCGCUAAUACCGCAUACGAUCUGAGGAUGAAAGCGGGGGACCGUAAGGCCUCGCGCGAUCGGAGCGGCCGAUGUCAGAUUAGGUAGUUGGUGGGGUAAAGGCUCACCAAGCCGACGAUCUGUAGCUGGUCUGAGAGGACGACCAGCCACACUGGGACUGAGACACGGCCCAGACUCCUACGGGAGGCAGCAGUGGGGAAUUUUGGACAAUGGGCGCAAGCCUGAUCCAGCAAUGCCGCGUGCAGGAAGAAGGCCUUCGGGUUGUAAACUGCUUUUGUACGGAGCGAAAAGGCUCUCUCUAAUACAGGGGGCUCAUGACGGUACCGUAAGAAUAAGCACCGGCUAACUACGUGCCAGCCGCCGCGGUAAUAC